rnacentral:rRNA from 1 species
CCAGCAGCCGCGGUAAUUCCAGCUCCAAUAGCGUAUAUUAAAGUUGUUGCAGUUAAAAAGCUCGUAGUUGGAUUUCUGGCAGGAGCGACCGGUCUCACACCCUGUGUGAGAACUUGUGUUGUCUCUGGCCAUCCUUGGGGAGAUCCUGUUUGGCAUUCAGUUGUCGGGCAGGGGAUACCCAUCGUUUACUGUGAAAAAAUUAGAGUGUUUAAAGCAGGCUUAUGCCGUUGAAUAUAUUAGCAUGGAAUAAUAAGAUAGGUCUUUGGUACUAUUUUGUUGGUUUGCGCACCAGAGAAAUGAUUAAUAGGGACAGUUGGGGCUAUUCGUAUUCCAUUGUCAGAGGUGAAAUUCUUGGAUUUCUGG